UAUUCAUUGUUACCUUUCAGUUAUUAAUUCUAGACCCGUCCCCUCUUCAAUGUCCGACCUCUCAAUACCAAUUGCGAAAUCAAGCAACAAGAAAGACUCUACCCUUUGGUCCAAAGUGGAUUCAACCCAUGAAAACGUUUACAUUACCAUAUCCCUUUAGCAGUUAUAGUGGUUGGCACUGCUCAUCUUCUUCAUCCUCUUCUUCUUCUUCGUCUUCUUCUUCUUACUGCAACAAUAUUAUUAUCGUAAUGGGGAAGAGCAAGAGGCCUCGCCCUUCUUCUCCCAAGGGUUCUGAGCCAGCUCCUCCAAGAAUUACCACAAACCUCAAGCAGAAUUUGCAAUUUUUGAAGUUAUGGAAGGAAUUUCAAAAGAGGAAGUCCAGCACUCCCAAGCCUGCUACCAGUUACCGCAAAAAGAAAGUGGACAAAGAAGACCUUCCAGAAGAUACAGAAAUUUAUCGUGAUCCUACCUUGUCUCUCUACUAUACAAACCAAGUUAUAGACAAUGCAGCCCCGGUUUUGCUUGUUGACGGUUAUAAUGUAUGUGGCUACUGGGCCAAGUUGAAGAAGCAUUUUAUGAAUGGAAGACUUGAUAUCGCCCGACAAAAAUUAAUUGAUGAACUUGUAACAUUCAGUAUGCUCAGAGAGGUGAAAGUGGUUGUUGUUUUUGAUGCCAUGAUGUCAGGGCUCCCUACGCACAAGGAAAAUUUCACUGGUGUUGAUAUCGUCUACUCGGGUGAAUCAUGUGCUGAUGCAUGGAUCGAAAAAGAGGUUGUUGCUUUGAGGGAGGAUGGGUGUCCAAAAGUAUGGGUUGUGACUUCUGAUCAUAUGCAGCAACAUGCAGCACAUGGAGCAUCACUAGUUGGCCUGACAGGCUUGUUUGAUACUGUGUUAGGGAGCCUUUGUUUGGAGUUGCAAGGCUUUAGUUUCUGAAAUUAAGUCAUCACAUAAGGAAAUGGAGAGGAUGCUUCAAGAGCAAAGGUGUUUUCCAUUUGAAUGAACAUUUUAUUUACUUCCAAUGGCUUAUAACAUAAGAACUAUGAAUAUUGUAUCUCCAACAACACAUCCUCAUCUAUUGAUUGGUGGGGUCACAAGUAAUCUCAGUUUCAUCUACCGGGUCUCAAUCAAUUAUAACCAUUGAUCAUGGUCCUCUUCUUUUCAAGGUAGAUUGUUAAAGCAUAAUCUUGAUUCUGAAGUUGUAGAUGCUCUCAAGGAUCUAAGGAACAAGCUUGCUCAGAAUGAGUCCAAAAAUAGGUUGAUCUGAUUUUGUUUUAUAAUUUACAACUUAGAACUUACCCUUUACUUUGGACAAUGCCUCCUUGUUUCACUUUUGCCUAAUUUUUCUUAAUUUUUUUUUUUUAUUUUUUCUUGAUAAUUGUAUAGGACAUUCACCCUGUUUAGAAUAAAUCAUUUGUAAAAAAUAAUAAAAAAAAAAAUCCCAUUUGAUAGUUGUAUUUUGGACUU